UAGAGUGAGUAUGUAUCUCCUUCCCGCUUCAACUCUGGACUUAGAGAAAGAUCUGAAACAAGCUCCCUGCAAAACCCUCUCAACAUUACAUUAUUAUUAGGGUUUUAAGCUAUCAAUUUUGCACUCUCUUCUUCUUCUUCUUCCUCUUAUCUCAAUGGCCUCUUGUUCUUCCCUUUCUCUUUGUCCUCACACCUUCUGUUACCGUCACUGCCCUUACGGUACGCGCCGUUCCCUUUCCUGCUCUCUCUUCUCUUCUUCCCUCCCCGGCGAACACCUGUAAAUUGAGGAAUAUGUCAGCUGCUAAAGGAUUUGUUAUAACGACCCAGUUUGUGUGAAAUAUACAUUGGCUUGGAAGUGUGAAAGCUGCUCCUGAUUUAACUGGUAUUUAUUGGCAUGUCGCUAAGAACAUAUUAGAUGCAGCUUGGAAGGAUGGAAAAGCUCCAAUUGAUCCAUCUACUAUGACGGUGAGGCGUUGCUUGAAGAAACGCUGGAAGAAGAAAUUUUGGGAGACGCCAAUCUGGUUGAUGUAGAGGUUAAAGCCGAGCCCUAGAGCGCUCGUUAAGUUUUAGUCUUUAGUAUUUCUGUUUAGCUUUUUGAACGUUCGGUUAUUUGGUGUUGUAAAACCGUUCGUCCUUGACUCUUAUUACUUCCGCUGUUUUGUAUUUUAGCAUUUUAAGGCUGUUCGGCCAGAACCUCUGUUUUAGUAAUUAAGACUGCAUUGGUUAACCGUUAAAUUGUAAUUAAAUUCUGAUUAUGGUUAUUACCGUAUUUUGGGAUGUUACAAAA